CAGUAGCCGCGGUAACACCGAGGAUGCAAGCGUUAUCCGGAAUGAUUGGGCGUAAAGCGUCUGUAGGUGGCUUUUCAAGUCCGUUGUGAAAGCCCUGGGCUCAACCUGGGAAUUGCAGUGGAUACUGGGUCACUAGAGUGUGGUAGAGGAUAGUGGAAUUUCCGGUGUAGCAGUGAAAUGCGUAGAGAUCGGAAGGAACAUCUGUGGCGAAGGCGACUAUCUGGGCCAACACUGACACUGAGGCACGAAAGCGUGGGGAGCAAACAGGAUUAGAUACCCCAGUAGUCCCUGUCUCUUAUAC
rnacentral:rRNA from 1 species